rnacentral:tRNA from 1 species
GUGGAUAUAGCUCAGAGGUAGAGUAUUUGCCUAGCAUGCUUAAGAGCAUGUCUGAGUUCAAUCCCCAGUAUCUCCC